AUGGAAGGGGCUAAUCAAAGAGUACAGCCUAAUGUAAACAGGUCCACAGUUUCAUCAACUGUGCAAACAUUUUGUAAGGAAAACAGUUCUCUUCCAAUAGUGUCUGUGCAAUCAGUCAAGUGUCCCCAACUAAGCAAGCCAAAGGCGACAGUGGCAAGGAACCAAAACUCCAUCGGUGACAGAAAUGGAGAAAAAACUUUGGGAGAAACCAGGCUCAGUCAGGGGGCCAUUUCUUCUCUGGCCUGACAGGACCGGCAUGGCAUAAUUUUAUUCCAGAAUGCAACACAGGUCAGAUUGUGCAGAGGACUUGUCUGGUUCCUGUGGUUUUGUCCCAAUGGCUGUCUAGUUGAUGAGCUCUUCACAGGGGAUCUGUCUCUGGGGCGCAUCUAGUUGACGUGGUCUCUACUUACAUUCAGAGCUCUAGAGGUCAUCUUUAGGUGCUGAUCCACCAUCUGGACUGGAUACGGACUGAAUUUGGGUGGCAAAGGUGACCAUCUGAUCUGGACACAGACUGGAUCCGUAUGGCUACAAUGACCUCGGAAUAAGAAUGAAAGAGACUAAUAUUAGCACUGUUGUCAUUUUUCUUACGAUGUAAUGAGUACAUCAGGUGUUAUGGGAAGUGUUCCUGGUUGACCUAUUAAUGCAGCCUAACAAUCCUUUAAUGAAUUUGAGUUAUAGAAAUGCGAUAGUGUUUUAUGUGUAUGCCAGGUUAAAGUGAUGGAUCUUUAAUCUAGAUUUAAACCGACAGAGUGUGUCUGCCUCCCGAACAAUGCUAUAGAUUACUACAACAACUACAGAGAAUCUUAACCCUUGUGUGGUUUUCAUAUUUUUGUUAUUCAGCCAGUGUUCGUGGGUCUGGUGGACCUGCUGCAUUUUUGGCUUUUUAAUUCAACACAAUCAAAAAUUUUAUGUUAAAAUACUCAACAGAUGUGAACUUCAUCCCAAUUACAAGCAGUAUCUAAACAGCAUAUUUGGUUAAUAUUUGUCCUUUACAUUUGUUAGAUCACAUUUAUGAAUUAAAGUUUUCCCACAACCUUGUGUGGGAACAGCUGGGGGAGAAACACAAAACUAACACUUACACUCUCUCUCUCUCUCUCUCUCUCUCUCUCUCUCUCUCUCUCUCUCUCUCUCUCUCUCUCUCUCUCUCUCUCACACACACACACACACACACAUACUGAUGGCAGGCCCAGACAAUAGGAAAACAGAGUGAAGGUACACAGGACCUACAAAUUCCACACUUUUAUUAGCCCCGGGUCCAGCAUACCUGAACAUCCUGGGUGUACAGUGUGUGGUCAUUGAAAAUUUGUUCUGAUAUAUGUUCUUCACAGAAAAGGAGCCAAGGCCAAAAAGUCUGAGUUUGAAAAAUGUAAUUAAUCAUAUCAUUUUUCUUUUGAUAAAAAAUUUAAAUGAGCCACAGACCCAAACACCAUACAAGGGUUAAGGGGUAAUUUCUCACCAGUGAGAGUUUAAGCUCUCCAAGCUCAAUAUUACCAAUCGUAGGGUUUGACUUUUUGAAAUCAAUUAAUCAGUGUUUGCUUCACCUUGAUUGAGAGUAACACACACCGUUUCACGUUAUUCUGGUGCUGUCAGGACAAUGAUUCACUCUGCACCUUUUGCCCAUAAGGUUCUAUGCUGUGUUGCAAUAACAGAGAGCUAGAAACAUAAUUUUGAAAGGUUUUCUUUCCUGGAUUCCCGAAUGGCUGAUCACAGUAAUGCGUAUCAUCUAGAGCUUUGUUUUGUACAUUGUCAAUGCUCCACUGACAUUCAUUUAAAUCAUAAAAAAAAAAAAAAAAAAAAAAAUUAAAAAAUAUUUGAAAAUUAUGUAUAAUGUAGUGAUUUUGCUUUCGCCAACCUAUAGGGAGGCAAAAUAGUGUAGUGAUGGGUAUUGAUUUUUGGAUCACUUGUGACUUAAGGUGCAGUUGAGUACACCAGAUAAGAAAGACUGGUGGGAUAUCUAACUUGUAGAACCUCUUACUAUAUUAUCAACACAAGGAAGACACAAGUGUAUUAAAAUACAUUUUAUUAACAAAAGAUAGACAAGAAUAAUCAAAAACUACUAAAUUAAUACCAUAAAUGAAAAAG
ensembl:lncRNA